UAGCUAGCCAACGUCCCUGAAAAUCACAGCAAGGGGGUCAAACAUCAUUCAGGCUACGGGAGAUAUCGUUAUAUCCCUCUGUCCUAACGUUACACAGCAGAGAGGGAAAAUAUCUUGGCGUUUACAACAAAGACGAACCGACUCACCAUAAACAAGACCACGCCUCUCUCUCUCCCUCACUAACCCAACCACCUGCGCAUCACUAAUUUCAUCCUCCUGGGCAUCUCUAAUCCAAUCUCCUGCACAUUCGUAUAUAAGCUCGUCUAACCCCUUUCUCGCCAAUUUGUCUCAGUUCUUACAACCCUCCCCCCUCCAAAUCCCGUUUCUCUCCUCUCUCGAUGGGCGGCAUGGUGGUCAAGUGGACAGCACUGAGGCCUCACUGCAAGAAGGAACCACAGGGGGAUCCUAAAGCAAGAUGCUUAUAGAUACGUGCCCCCACCCUAUGUCUCGACCUCCAGGUUCCUAGCCCCUCCGGCCACCAUAACCCAAAUCAACCACCUUCAUCCCACCCUACCUUCUCAACUCUUCAUCCCUCCCCCUUUCAAUCCCUUCAUCCUUCCCCAUUUGACCCCUCCAUCCUAUCCUUCCUGAACCUUCUCGCUAACCAAAUAAACUACCUCUUGUACAUUAA